GACGAACGCUGGCGGCGCGCCUAACACAUGCAAGUCGAACGGAGCUGAGAGAAGCUUGCUUUUCUUAGCUUAGUGGCGAACGGGUGAGUAACGCGUGAGUAACCUGCCCUGGAGUGGGGGACAACAGUUGGAAACGACUGCUAAUACCGCAUAAGCCCACGAUCCGGCAGCGGAUUGAGUGAAAGGGGUUUAUUCGCUUCAGGAUGGACUCGCGUCCAAUUAUCUAGUUGGUGGGGUAACGGCCCACCAAGGCGACGAUGGUUAGCCGGACUGAGAGGUGGAACGGCCACAUUGGGACUGAGACACGGCCCAGACUCCUGCGAGGGGCAGCAGUGGGGGAUAUUGCACAAGGGGGGAAACCCUAAUGCAGCGGCGCCGCGUGGAGGAAGAAGGUUUUCGGAUGGUAAACUCCUGUCGAUAGGGACGAUAUGGCCGGUACCUAACAAGAAAGCACCGGCUACCUCCGU
rnacentral:rRNA from 1 species